UACAGAGGUCCCAAGCGUUGUUCGGAUUCACUGGGCGUAAAGGGUGCGUAGGCGGUCGGGUAAGUCUGAUGUGAAAUCUCACAGCUUAACUGUGAAACUGCAUUGGAUACUAUCCGGCUCGAGGAAUGGAGGGGAGACUGGAAUACUUGGUGUAGCAGUGAAAUGCGUAGAUAUCAAGUGGAACACCAGUGGCGAAGGCGACUUACUGGACUGUAACUGACGCUGAGGCAUGAAAGCGUGGGGAGCAAACAGG
rnacentral:rRNA from 1 species